UAGGAUCAACAGCAGAUCUAUCAAAAGAGGCCAAACAGUCGGCAACGGAAUUUUUCUUUAUAUAUAUGGACAAAAGACGAUCAUCUUCCUAACCGAUCUCCCCUAAGCGUCUCUUCUGGGGUUCCAUGAUAAUCGAUCUACUCUUGCUCCUGUGUCUCAGGUGUGCAGCUCAUCUCUUUGUUCACAAUGGUGGCGGUUUCUAUGAAAGUUCAAAUUUCACCCGAAACUUAAAAAGUCUUUUUCUAGAGAUUGGCUUUUGGAGGAAUCCCUACAAAGGACAUUCCAUUGAUUCUCUUUGUGGUCUCUGUCAGGAUAAGGACGAGUCACAUUUUACAUAUUUUUCUUAUUGUGAAUUUACCAGUAGGAUUUGGGUAGCUUUCCAUUAGGAUUUCACCUUGAAGCUAACCCUCAUGUGAUAUUACGAUUGCUGAAUCAAUGGACUGAUAAUCAAAAGCCCUUUGACAUGGCCAACCAGGAAAUACGAAUGAGGUUUACACGCGGCGAUUGCUCAUGGGUGUGAAACAGACGGAAGAGGAAGGAUGGCUGCAUGGAGCAGUUUGGAUGGAAUUAAACGAUGCCCAGAUUUUGCCAGCUAACUUUAAGGAUUUUUAUGGCCUUUACAUGAUAUUCGAUUUUGCCAGCAGUUUCUAGCUAAACUCACUUUUUGCCUUAAAUCUCCUGCGGAUGGAGUUAUAUGUUUUUGUAAAACAGCUUGCUUUUUGGAUCCUUGCAAGGAGGAUCUGUAUCCCAUCCCCAUUCCCCUUCUUGAUGUACAGCCUAUGAUAUAAUAUUGGUUUCCUUUUGUUUCUUAUA